rnacentral:rRNA from 1 species
CAGUAGCCGCGGGAAUACGUAGGUGGCAAGCGUUGUCCGGAAUUAUUGGGCGUAAAGGGCUCGCAGGCGGUUUCUUAAGUCUGAUGUGAAAGCCCACGGCUCAACCGGGGAGGGUCAUUGGAAACUGGGAAACUUGAGUGCAGAAGAGGAGAGUGGAAUUCCACGUGUAGCGGUGAAAUGCGUAGAGAUGUGGAGGAACACCAGUGGCGAAGGCGACUCUCUGGUCUGUAACUGACGCUGAGGAGCGGAAGCGUGGGGAGCGAACGGGAUUAGAUACCCGCGUAGUCCCUGUCUCUUAUAC